rnacentral:rRNA from 1 species
UACGAGGGGGGCAAGCGUUGUUCGGAAUUAUUGGGCGUAAAGGGCGCGUAGGCGGCGCGGUAUGUCUCUUGUGAAAUCUCCAGGCUCAACUUGGAGUCUGCAAGGGAAACUGCCGUGCUUGAGUACUGGAGAGGUGAGUGGAAUUCCCGGUGUAGUGGUGGAAUGCGUAGAUAUCGGGAGGAACACCAGUGGCGAAGGCGGUUGCCUGGAGCUUUGCUGACGCUGAUGCGCGAAAGCGUGGGGAGCGAUCCGG